rnacentral:rRNA from 1 species
UACGUAGGGUGCGAGCCUUAAUCGGAAUUACUGGGCGUAAAGUGUGCGCAGGCGGCCGCGCAAGUCGAGUGUGAAAGCCCCGGGCUUAACUUGGGAAUUGCGCUCGAAACUACGUGGCUGGAGUAUGGCAGAGGAAGGUGGAAUUCCACGUGUAGCGGUGAAAUGCGUAGAGAUGUGGAGGAACACCGAUGGCGAAGGCAGCCUUCUGGGCCAAUACUGACGCUCAUGCACGAAAGCGUGGGGAGCAAACAGG